UACAGAGGGUGCAAGCGUUGUUCGGAAUUAUUGGGCGUAAAGGGCGCGUAGGCGGUCAGCACAAGUCAGUUGUGAAAUCUCCGGGCUUAACUCGGAAAGGUCAACUGAUACUGUGCGACUAGAGUGCAGAAGGGGCAACUGGAAUUCUCGGUGUAGCGGUGAAAUGCGUAGAUAUCGAGAGGAACACCUGCGGCGAAGGCGGGUUGCUGGGCUGACACUGACGCUGAUGCGCGAAAGCCAGGGGAGCAAACAGG
rnacentral:rRNA from 1 species